UAAGGAAUAUUGGUCAAUGGGCGCAAGCCUGAACCAGCCAUGCCGCGUGCAGGAAGACGGCCCUACGGGUUGUAAACUGCUUUUAUACGGGAAUAAACCUCACUACGUGUAGUGAGUUGAAUGUACUGUAAGAAUAAGGAUCGGCUAACUCCGUGCCAGCAGCCGCGGUAAUACGGAGGAUCCAAGCGUUAUCCGGAUUUAUUGGGUUUAAAGGGUGCGUAGGCGGCCAAUUAAGUCAGGGGUGAAAGACGGUAGCUUAACUAUCGCAGUGCCUUUGAUACUGAUUGGCUUGAAUGUACUUGAGGUAGGCGGAAUGUGACAAGUAGCGGUGAAAUGCAUAGAUAUGUCACAGAACACCAAUUGCGAAGGCAGCUUACUAAAGUAUGAUUGACGCUGAGGCACGAAAGCGUGGGGAUCAAACA
rnacentral:rRNA from 1 species